AUUGAACGCUGGCGGCAUGCCUAACACAUGCAAGUCGAACGGUAACAGGCCUUCGGGCGCUGACGAGUGGCGGACGGGUGAGUAACGCGUGGGAAUCUGCCUAGUAGUGGGGGACAACCUGGGGAAACUCAGGCUAAUACCGCAUACGCCCUACGGGGGAAAGCAGGGGAUCUUCGGACCUUGCGCUAUUAGAUGAGCCUGCGUCGGAUUAGCUUGUUGGUGGGGUAAAGGCCUACCAAGGCGACGAUCCGUAGCUGGUUUGAGAGGACGAUCAGCCACACUGGGACUGAGACACGGCCCAGACUCCUACGGGAGGCAGCAGUGGGGAAUAUUGGACAAUGGGGGCAACCCUGAUCCAGCAAUGCCGCGUGUGUGAAGAAGGCCUGCGAGUUGUAAAGCACUUUCAGUAGAGAAGAAAGCCUGGGAUAAUACCCCGGGUCUUGACGUAACCUACAGAAGAAGCACCGGCUAACUCCGUG
rnacentral:rRNA from 1 species